GUAGGUGGCAAGCGUUGUCCGGAUUUAUUGGGCGUAAAGCGAGCGCAGGCGGUUCUUUAAGUCUGAUGUGAAAGCCCCCGGCUCAACCGGGGAGGGUCAUUGGAAACUGGAGAACUUGAGUGCAGAAGAGGAGAGUGGAAUUCCAUGUGUAGCGGUGAAAUGCGUAGAUAUAUGGAGGAACACCAGUGGCGAAGGCGGCUCUCUGGUCUGUAACUGACGCUGAGGCUCGAAAGCGUGGGGAGCAAAC
rnacentral:rRNA from 1 species